AAUAUUUUUUUCCCUUUUCAUAGGUUAUCUUUUCACUUUGUUGUUUCUUUUGCUGUACAAAAGCUUUUUAGUUUGAUGUAAUCCCAGUUGUUUACUUUUUUUUUUUUUUUAAUUGUUUGUGCUUUAGGUGUGACAUCCAAAAAAAAUCAUGGCCAAGACCCAUGUCAAGGUGCUUUCUUCCUUUGUUUAUUUAUAGGAGUUUCAGUCUUAAGUUUAAGUCUUUUAUCCAUUUUGAGUUAAUUUUUAUAAAUAGUAUAAGAUAGGUGUAUAGUUUCAUUCUUUAAUAUGUGAAUAUCCAGUUUUCCCAGCACCAUUCAUUGAAGAGACUGUCUUUUCUCCAUUGAGUAUUCUUGCCUCCCUUGCCAAAUAUUAGUUGACCAUACAAGCCCAGAUUUAUCUCUGAGCUCUCAGUUCUGUUCAUUUGAUCUGUCUGCUUUUGUGACAGUACCAUACUGUUUUGAUUACUAUAGCUUUAUAGUUUAGCUUGAAAUUAGGAAGUGUGAUGCCUACCAGUUUUUUCCUCCUAGGAUUUCUUUGGCUGUUCAGAGUAUUUUGUUGUUCCAUAUAAAUUUUAGGAUUUUUUUCUACUUCUGUAGAAACAUGCCAUUGGAAUUGUGAUAGAUACUAUAUUGGACCUACAGAUUGCAUUAGGUAGUGUGGACAUUUUAAUAAUGCUUCCAGUCCAGGAACACAGGAUACCUUUCCACUUAUUUGUAUCUUCUUCAAUUUCUUUCAUCAAUGUAUUAUAGCUUUCAGAGUAGAGAUCUUUUACUUCCUUGGUUAAAUUUGUUCCUCAGUAUUUUGGUGCUAUUGUAAGUGGGAUGAUGUUGUUUAUUUCUUUUUCAGGUCACUUCUUAUGGUUAAUUUAAUGUUAAUAUCCUGCAACUGUACUGAAUUCAUUGAUCUAACAGUUUUUUGGUAGAGUCUUUAGGAUUUUCUAUUUAUAAAAUCUUACUACAAAUAGAGACAAUUUUACUUCUUUUUAUUUCUGAUGCUUUUUAUUUGUUUCUUGCCUGAUUGCUCUGUAAGGACUUCCAGUACAGUGGUGAAUAUGAAUGGUGAGAGUGGGCACCCCUGUCAUGUUCCCUAUCUUAAAGGAAAAGCUUUCAACCUUUCACCAUUGAAUAUUAUAUUAGAUGUAGGUUUAUAAUAUAUAGGCUUUACUAUGUUGGGGUUCAUUCCUUCUAUACAUAAUUGUUAAGAGUUUUUAUCAUGAAAGGAUGUUGCAUCUUUUUCAAAUGCUUUUUCUGCAUCUAUUGCAGUGGUCACAUGAUAUUUUUUUCUUUCAUUCUGUUAAUGUCAUGUAUCUCAUUGAUUGGCACAUGUUGAGCCAUCUUUGCAUCCCAGGUAUAAAUCAUGCUUGAUCGUUGUAAAUGAUCCUUUCAUGAGCAGAAUUCAGUUUGCAGUGUUCUGUUGAGAAUUUUUGCAUCUCUAUUACCAGGGAUAUUGGUUCAUAGUUUUUCUUUUCUGGUAGUGUCUUUUUCUGGCUUUGGUUAUUGGUGAUGUUGGCUUGUAAAAGGAGUUUGUGAGUGCCCCUCCUCUUUGAUUUUUUUUUUUUUUUUGAAGAAUUUCAGAGGGAUCAGUGUUAUUUUAAAUAUUUGUUAAAAUUUACUAGCAAAGACAUUUAGUCUUGGAAUUUUCUUUGUUGAAAGAGUUUUAAUUACUGAUUAAAUCUUAUACUAGUAAAUGGUGUAAUUCAGACCGUUUCUUCUUGAUUCAGUCUCAGUAGAUUAUAUGCUUCCAAGAAUUUUUACAUUUCUUCUAGGUUUUCCUAUUUGUUGGCAUGUAAUUGGUCAUAGUAGCCUUUUAUGAUUGUAUUCCUGUAGUAGCCGUUGUAAUAUCUCCUUGUUUGAUUCAUAGUUUAUUUGGUUCCUCUUUUUUGUCUUGAUUUAUCUAAUAGUUUUGCCAAUUUUAUAUUUUCAAAGAACUACCUCUUCGUUUGGUUAAUGUUUUCUACUGUAUUUCUGUUCUAUCCUUCAUUUAUUUCUGCUGUAAUCUUUACUUUUUCCUUUCUUAUUCUAACUUGGGGUUCAUUUUGUUACUCUUUUUCUGCUUCUUAUUUAUCUGGGAGGUUUAUUGCUAUGAGCUUCCCUCUUCAAACUGCUUUUACUGCCUCUCAUAAGUUUUGGUAUGUGUGUUUCCAUUGUCAUUUGUCUCAAGAUAGUUAUUUCCCAUUUCCUCUUUGAUCCAUUGGUUGUUCAGGAGAGUGUUGUUUAAUUGCCAUUUUAUCCUGCAGUUUUCCUCACGUUAUAGUUAUUUGGUAUGAUUUCGUUGUUCUUAAAUUUGCUAAGAAUUAUUUUUUGUCCUAACAUAUGUCCUAACAUAUCCUAGAAAAAUGUUCCAUUUACACAUGGGAAGAAUGUAUUCUGCUGUUCAGAUAGAAUGUUCUGUAUAUUAUUACUCUUAUGUCCCAUUUUGUCUAUAGGCUGUUCAUAUCAGCGUUUUCCUUACUGAUUUGCUGUCUGCAUGAUCUACCCAUUGUUGAGUGGUGUAUUAAAGACCCCAUCUAUUGGGGCGCCUGGGUGGCGCAGUCGGUUAAGCGUCCGACUUCAGCCAGGUCACGAUCUCACGGUCCGGGAGUUCGAGGCCCGCGUCGGGCUCUGGGCUGAUGGCUCAGAGCCUGGAGCCUGUUUCUGAUUCUGUGUCUCCCUCUCUCUCUGCCCCUCCCCCGUUCAUGCUCUGUCUCUCUCUGUCCCAAAAAUAAAUAAACGUUGAAAAAAAAAAUUUUAAGACCCCAUCUAUUACUGUGUUGUUGCUUAUUUCUUUUAGGUCUGUUCAUUUUUGCUUUAUGCUUUUAUGUGCUCUGAUUGUAACACUGGGUAUAUAAAUGUUUACAGUUGUUAGGUUAUCUUGAUGUAUAGACCCAUUUACCAAUAACCUUUUGUCUCUUUUUAUAAUUUUUAAAGUCUCUUUUGUCGGAUACAAGUAUAGCUUUCCCUGCCCCCCCCCCCCUUUUUUUUUCUUUUGGUUACCAAUUGCUUAAAAUGCCUUUGCUUCACUCUCAGUCUGUUUGCCUUUGAGUCUGAGGUGGGUCUCCGGCAGGACAGGGUAUUGUUGGGUCUUGUUAUUUUAAUCCACUUAGCCUUUCUGUGUCUUUAUAUUGGGGAAUUUAAUCUGUUGACAUUGAAAGUAAUUGUUGAUAAGGAUUUACUGUUGCCUUUUUGUUGUUUUGUGGUUUGUUUUAUGGAUCCAUUGUUCCUUGUUUCUUAUCCUGUUGUCUUUGUAGUUUGAUGUCCUGUCCUUAUCAAUAUGCUUUGACUUGUCAUCUUUUGUGUAAUUACUACAGGUUUUUCCCUGUAGUUACCUUGAGGCUUACAUAAGAUGUUUUAAAAUUUAGCACUCUGUUCUAAACUAAUAGCAACUUUAAUUGAACUACUAAGCUUUAUACUUCUCACAUUUUACUUAAUGUUGCAAUUUACAUAUUUUCUUAUUGUGUAAUCAAUAACAGACUAUUGAAGAUAUGGUUACUUUUACUAUAUUUGUUUUUAACGUUUAAACUAGUCUUAUGACUUACACACCACCAUUAUCCUAUUACAGAAUCCAUUUUUAACUAUCAAUACUAGUGAGUUGUACAGUGCCUUAUGUUUCUAUGCUAUUAACUAGUGAUCUUUUAUUUUCACUCAAAGAACUCCUUUUAGCAUUUCUUUUAAGGUAGGUAUAGUGGUAAUGAACUCCCUCAGCUUUUGUUUGUCUGAGAAAGUCUAUCCUUCCUUUAUUUUUGAAGAACAGCUUUGCCAGGCAUAGAAUUCUUGAUUGAAACUUUGGGUUUUUCUUUUUUUCCUCCCUGUAUUUUGAAUAUGUCUUCCCAUUGUUUUCUGUCCUGAAAAGUUUCUGUUGAGGAAUCCAGCCUUAUUUGGAAUUCCCUUUUAUUUUCCCUCUGUUUUCUCUUAUUGCUUUCAAAAUUCAUGGUCUGUCUUUGAUUUUUGCCAUUUAAUUGUGAAGUGUCUUGAUUUAGCCCUAUUUGGGUUCACCCUGUUUGGGGUCCUUUGGGCCUCUUGGAUCUGGAUGUCUAUUUCCCUACCCAGGUUUGGGAAGUUUUCAGCCAUUAUUGCUUUAAAUAUACUUUCUGUUGUUUCUUUUUCUCCUUCUAGAAUUCCCCUAAUUCAAAUAUUAUUUGCUUUCAUUGUGUCCAGUAAUUCCUGUAGCCUCUUUUCACUUUCUUUCAUUCUUUUUCUUUUUGCUCCUCUAAUUUCAAUGGUGGUUUUUUGUUUUUUUUUCCAGUUCACUGCAGUGUUCUGCAUGGUUGAGUCUGCUUUUAAAACCCUUUAUUGAAUUCUUCAGUUAUAUUUUUCAGCUCUGAUUUUGGGGCUUGUGGGUUUUUUUGUUUGUUUGGUUUUGGGAUGAUUUCUGCUUUGUUGAACUUCUUGUUCAUGUAUUGUUUUCAUAAUUUUAUUUAGUGGUCUGUAUGUUCUUAUAGCUCACUAAACUUUAUAACAAUUAUUCUGAAUUCUUUAUCUGACAGCUCACAGGUCUCCAUUUCUUUUGGGUCAGUUACUAGAGCGUCAUUCAUUUCCGUUGGUAUGUCAUACCUGAUUUUUCAAGAUCUUUGAUUCUUUAUGUUGGUCUCUGUGCCUUUAAGUGGUCUCCUCUUACAGACUUAGCAUGUUUGAUUUGGCAGAGACAUUUCUUCACCAGUCAGCUUAGUGUGGGUUUCUGGACAUGUCUGCUGGUAACAUCCUUGGGUAGGUGGGGCCUCCUAGUAGAGUCUAUUUUUAGGCAAGCAGCUGUUAAUGCUCUGAGGUAAGGGGUAUGGCACUGGCCAAGAAUAGCUAGAUAACACUGCUGGCUCGCUCCCCUCCUCAGGGGAAGCUGUGGGAUGAUCUUCGCGAUUUCCUGAAAUCUCUGGUCAGGCUUACUCGAAGGUUGGGACUGGGUACUACGUUGGCCUUCGUUCAGGCUAUGAACUAGCUUCUCUGCCCUUGCAGGGCGGCUGGAUAGGACCCAGGGCCUGCACAGGUUGUUCGGGGACCUGAUCAGGAAAGAGUGUGCACUUAACAUCCUGGUCAGAUGAAGCCACUGGUUUUGCUCUACAGAUGUGGAAAGCCCAGAGCUAUACUCCAUCAAGUGACACUGUAAAUGGGGCCGUUGGAUGAGCUAUGCAUUUCCCUGUGUGCUCUGGUAAGGUCCCCUGUGUGGCUGGGUUGAAGGCAGAAUUCAGCAAUAAGUAGGCUACGAAUUACUUUCCCUGGUUGGGUGCAGCAGGCAAAGCAGCUCCAAAGCCGUCAGUGCUUUCUUCUGGACUCCAGUCAACCCAGGCCUCGAGUUCCCUGGCCAGACAGAACCACUGGAUUUGCUUUGGGUGGCGUCAGUUCUGCCCACCUGCUUCUUGGCUUAAGAGCUGCUGGGCCACAUAGCUUCCAGGUAUUCUGGUGAGCCCUUGCUGUCAGAAGGGGCAGGGGGUCACAUUCUGUAGGCACAGGGGCUGGAGUAGGGCUAUGUCUCUGGUUCCUGUUGGAGCGAGACUGGAAGGGCCCGCUUGAGGCGACUCCCAAAUUUUCCUGACUAGAUUUUCUGAUCAGGAGGGACUGGGGGCCGUGGUCUGCAGCAGGGGUAGCUGUGGCUCAGCUCUUCUGCCAGGGCAUGGGCAGAGCAGGCAGCAAGGCCAGAACUCCUUCUUUGGGGACCCAAAUUUGGCAGGCCUGAACCUUGCCAAAUUCCCCGGUCAGACUGUGCCACUGACCUGGCUUGCAGAUGAGUGUACACGCUGGUUGUUGGAAGCCCCUCCCCGCUUCUCCGUCUCAGGCUCCUAGAGGUUGAGCUCCACAGCUUUCCCCGAAGUCCUUGUGGAGUGAAACCAGAGUAUGGGCUCCAACUAAGUACCACAUUAGGUAGGCGGAGGGCUGGAUAUCACCCAUGGGCUCUCCCCACCUGAGGAACCGGUGGCUUAGGGGAGAAGUCUCCACGUAGUGCUGAGCCAGCGUGGGGGAGGGGCAACGUGGUCAGCAUGUAGCUGUUCCUCUUACCCUUCCAGUCUUGGUCUCUCUCGUGCUGCGGGGUGCCUUAGCCUCACUCCUGAGCUCUAGGAUCCUUUCAUUGGUGUCCUAUCCAGGAACAGUUGUUAGUUGCCUUCUUGUGAAGGGGAGUAUACUCAAGAACUACUUAUGUUACCAUCUUGGUGAUGUUACUCCCCUCCCCUCUCUUACCUUGUUCCCAUUUCAGCAAAAUUUUUAACACGUUACCCUAUUAGCAGAUUUCAAAAUAUUGAUGUAGACUGUAAAAGUAAUCCCUUUACAUCAUAGAAUGUACUGAUAAUUAAAAACCACACAGUUGUAAAUGUUUGUUAUCUCCGUCCAAACUUUCUCCGCUGAGUUUCUUCAGAUCAAACAUUUAUAACCCAGUAAAGUCCCAUUUGUUACCAAAAGACAGGAGAAUGAUUCUGCUUCAAAUGUGCAUUUUAGCAAAACAAACUUUUCAGAACUUUCAGCAGUUGUUACUGUUAAAUCAUAUUAACCAGGUACACAGUGUCUAAAGUGAUCAGUGACAAAACUUUUUCUAUUCGUUAAAUAGGACCACCCGAUUCUCUAGUUUUUAACUGGUAUUUUUCCUUAUCAAAAUAUUACACUACUAACUUUGUUACACUUCAGGAGUCAUGGUGGUGGUAACGCAGUCUCCCGAGUAGUAAUAAAAGGUUGUUGUUUUAAAAUGUUACGUUUUGUAACAUUUACAAUUUAAAAUGUUAUAUUUAAUGUGAUCUGAAUUCUUAUUUAAGAACCAAAGAGUAAAUGUUAUUUCUAUUUUAUUAGGUAUUAGACCCGUUAGAGAAAGUUAUAAGUUUCAGCAAUUUUUAAAUGAUGAGAUUGCAGAAAAAGGCAACAAGAUUAUUAUAACAAUUCAAAAUAUAUUAUCUAAAGAAAAGUUAAAGUGAUCGUGAAACCUGAAAAGCUCAAGCAAUUACAGACCUCGUCAGUUACAGAGACAUCUGCUAACCACAAGGGAGAAACUUCAGGCAGUGAGAAACACAGCUUCGUCAGAAUCACGGUCCUUGCCACUGUCUUCGCUUGGUGCACACUCCCCACCACUUGGGGACCGACAGCUCAAGUCCUCCACCCCGGACUCUUGAUCGCUGUUGGCCGACAGAUCCGGAUCUGAGCUUUUCAAAUUGUCUUGGGUUAGAAUGAGAGCAGAAUCUUCAUCACCUUGUGAAGGACUCCUGGAUGGAAAGGAUUUCAUGUUUCCGCUGUAAUCCUGGGGAGUGUUGGCUGUGCUGUUGUCUGAGGUAGAAAACCCUGAGUGUUUGCUGGGUUCACUUUGCUUAGCCUUCACUUUAGUGUGAUUUAACUGGACUUUCUGAAUUUUUUCCAGCCUCUAAAAAAAAAAAAAGUUUUUUUAGGGAAAAAUCAUAAAUAACUUAGUAUUUAUUACUUUCCACCUAGGUAUAAUCUUAAGAACAUGGGAUGUAAAUGGACUUGGGUUCAAAGCUAGACUUUAUGACCUUGGACAAAAUAGAUUAUGUGAGACUUGGUUUCUUCAUCUCGAAUUAAAUGAAGGUAAAUACCAGCUUUACUAUAGGUUUUCUAUAAAAUGCAAAAAAAGAAAAAAAUAAUAACAUAGGUAAAGCACCUGGCAAUCAGUAGUCAUCCUUUCUAGACCUAUAAUGUUUUACAUGAUGAUUCUCAUCCUAUAAACUCAAAAUGCAUUUUUAAAACACCAGGAAUGAGUUGUUUAUUAUCUAUUUUUUUUAAUUAAGAAACAUCACUUAACCAUAAAACACCUCCUUCUAAAGUAUACAGUUCAGUGGUUUUAGUAUGUUCGCAAGGUUAUACAACAAUUCCCUACUACGUAAUUCCAAAAUAUUUUCAUCAUCCUCAAAGAAAACCCCAUAACCAUUAGCAGUCACUCCCCAUUUCAGCCUCCCACAGCUCUGGCCGCCACUAAGCUACUUUGUAUCUCUAUGGAUUUGCCUCGUCUGGACAUUUCAUAUAAAUGGAAUCAUACAACACA